rnacentral:rRNA from 1 species
CACGUAGGGGACGAGCGUUGUCCGGAUUCAUUGGGCGUAAAGCGCGCGUAGGCGGCUCGGAAAGUCGGUCGUGAAAUGCCGGGGCUCAACCCCGGGACUGCGUCCGAUACUCCCGAGCUGGAGGCAGGUAGGGGAGAUCGGAAUUCCUGGUGUAGCGGUGAAAUGCGCAGAUAUCGGGAGGAACACCAGUGGCGAAGGCGGCCUUCUGGACAGUGACUGACGCUGAGACGCGAAAGCGUGGGGAGCAAACAGG